AACGAACGCUGGCGGCAGGCUUAACACAUGCAAGUCGAACGGUUGUAGCAAUACAGCAGUGGCGCACGGGUGAGUAACGCGUGGAUAUCUGCCUUUUGGUUCGGAAUAACCCCGGGAAACUGGAGCUAAUACCGGAUGGUUCCUACGGGAUAAAGAUUUAUCGCCAAAAGAUGAGUCCGCGUACGAUUAGCUAGUUGGCGGGGUAAUGGCCCACCAAGGCGACGAUCAUUAGCUGGUCUGAGAGGACGAUCAGCCACACUGGGACUGAGACACGGCCCAGACUCCUACGGGAGGCAGCAGUGGGGAAUAUUGGACAAUGGGGGCAACCCUGAUCCAGCCAUGCCGCGUGAGUGAUGAAGGCCUUCGGGUUGUAAAGCUCUUUUGGCGGGGACGAUGAUGACGGUACCCGCAGAAUAAGCCCCGGCUAACUUCGUGCCAGCCGCCGCAGUAAUAC
rnacentral:rRNA from 1 species